rnacentral:rRNA from 1 species
GAUGAACGCUGGCGGCGUGCCUAAUACAUGCAAGUCGAGCGAACAGACGAGGAGCUUGCUCCUCUGACGUUAGCGGCGGACGGGUGAGUAACACGUGGAUAACCUACCUAUAAGACUGGGAUAACUUCGGGAAACCGGAGCUAAUACCGGAUAAUAUAUUGAACCGCAUGGUUCAAUAGUGAAAGACGGUUUUGCUGUCACUUAUAGAUGGAUCCGCGCCGCAUUAGCUAGUUGGUAAGGUAACGGCUUACCAAGGCAACGAUGCGAGCCGACCUGAGAGGGUGAUUGGCCACACUGGAACUGAGACACGGUCCAGACUCCUACGGGAGGCAGCAGUAGGGAAUCUUCCGCAAUGGGCGAAAGCCUGACGGAGCAACGCCGCGUGAGUGAUGAAGGUCUUCGGAUCGUAAAACUCUGUUAUUAGGGAAGAACAAAUGUGUAAGUAACUAUGCACGUCUUGACGGUACCUAAUCAGAAAGCCACGGCUAACUACGUG